CCUACGGGAGGCAGCAGUCGGGAAUUUUGGGCAAUGGGCGAAAGCCUGACCCAGCAACGCCGCGUGAAGGAUGAAAUCCCUCGGGAUGUAAACUUCGCAAGAACGGGAAGAAUAAGCUGGUGUGAAUAUCACCAGCGAUGACGGUACCGUUUGUAAGCUCCGGCUAACUCCGUGCCAGCAGCCGCGGUAAU
rnacentral:rRNA from 1 species